AUUCAUCUUCGUGCAUGCACACAUGCAAUGUUUUACAAAGCAUCUGUUGAGUGUCUACGGCACAACACACACGUUCUGGUGCUGGAGAUCCUGCCCUGGCUGAGCUUCUGGACCUGGUGGGGAGAAAUCCACAAUGAGUACUGAGACGACCGGCAAAAGCCCGGUGAAGGCACCUAGGAGUAGGGCCUGCUUACCCUGGAGGAGUCGGGAGCAGCUUCCACAGCAAGGAGGCUUCUAAGGUACCCAAAAGCACAAGAGACAGUGAACGGAAAGUGCUUGGAAGCCCCGUGCCCAGGUGGUGCUGGCCCCAGCUGAACUGCGGGGAUAGAUGUUGAGUGUCCAGGUUCUAGCAUCAUAGAACAGAAUCCGGCCUGUUGGGAAAUCCUGCCUACAAGUAUACCUCCAUUAAUUAGUGUCUUCUGUGAACAUUUUUAUUAAAAAAAGAAGAAAAGCUUCUCAACCCAAGCCCAAGGGCAUGUCCUGAUUUGUUGAAAGUAGUUGUAAGACCAUUUCAUUAUUCACUCUACUUUUUCAUAUGUUGGAAAUGUUUUAUAAGAAUAAAUACAAUAAUAUC
rnacentral:lncRNA from 1 species